UACGUAGGAGGCGAGCGUUGUCCGGAGUUACUGGGCGUAAAGGGUGCGCAGGCGGCGUCACGCGUGGCUAGAUGAAAUCUCCUGGCUUACCUGGGAGGAUGGUAGCCAGACGGUGGCGCUUGAGGGUCGGAGAGGGGCGUGGAAUUCCAGGUGUAGCGGUGAAAUGCGUAGAUAUCUGGAGGAACACCGGUGGCGAAGGCGGCAUCCUGGACCGAUAUUGACGCUGAGGCGCGAAAGCCGGGGAGCAAACGGG
rnacentral:rRNA from 1 species